rnacentral:rRNA from 1 species
AGAGUUUGAUUCUGGCUCAGAACGAACGCUGGCUGCGUGGAUUAGGCAUGCAAGUCGAACGAGAUUCUGUUGCUUCAAUCCUACGGAAGAGAGGUUUCAGAUGAGAGUGGCGGAAGGGCGAGUAACGCGUGGGCAAGCUGCCCUCAAGUCGGGGACAACCCGCCGAAAGGCGAGCUAAUACCGGAUGUGGUCCUCUCUCGCAUGAGAGAGAGGCUAAAGGUGGGGAUUCUUCGGAACCUGCCGCUUGAGGAGGCGCCCGCGUGCCAUCAGCUUGUUGGUGAGGUAACGGCUCACCAAGGCUUACGGCUAGCGGGUCUGAGAGGAUGACCCGCCGCACUGGGACUGAGACACUGCCCAGACUCCUACGGGAGGCCGCAGUCGAGGAUCAUUCGCAAUGCACGAAAGUGUGACGAUGCGACGCAGCGUGGAGGAUGAAGGCCCUAGGGUCGUAAACUCCUGUCAUGAGGGAUAAGCCGGCGACAGGUUAAUAACCUGUCGCCCCGAUAGUACCUCAAGAGGAAGCCACGGCUAACUCUGUGCCAGCAGCCGCGGUAAUACAGAGGUGGCUAGCGUUGUUCGGAUUCACUGGGCGUAAAGCGUACGUAGGCGGUCAAGUAUGUCGGAUGUGAAAUCCCGGGGCUCAACCCCGGAACUGCGUCCGAAACUGCGUGACUAGAGUGCAGGAGGGGAGAGGGGAAUUCAUGGAGUAGCGGUGAAAUGCGUUGAUAUCAUGAAGAACACCGGUGGCGAAGGCGCCUCUCUGGAAUGUAACUGACGCUGAGGUACGAAAGCAUGGGGAGCAAACAGGAUUAGAUACCCUGGUAGUCCAUGCCGUAAACGGUGCACACUUGGUGUUGGAAGGGUCAGCCCUUUCAGUGCCGGAGCUAACGCGUUAAGUGUGCCGCCUGGGGAGUACGGCCGCAAGGCUAAAACUCAAAGAAAUUGACGGGGGCCCGCACAAGCGGAGGAGCAUGUGGCUUAAUUCGAUGCAACGCGAAGAACCUUACCCAGGCUUGACAUAAGACUGCAAGUCCUGUGAAAGCAGGAUUCCUUCGAGGGUGUCUUACAGGUGCUGCAUGGCUGUCGUCAGUUCGUGCCGUGAGGUGUUGGGUUAAGUCCCGCAACGAACGCAACCCCUGCGUCUAGUUGCCAUCAGGUAAUGCUGGGAACUCUAGACGGACUGCCUGUGUAAUCAGGAGGAAGGUGGGGACGACGUCAAGUCAGUAUGGCCCUUACGCCUGGGGCUGCACACGUGCUACAAUGGCCGGUACAGAAGGACGCGAAACCGCGAGGUGGAGCAAAUCCCCAAAGCCGGCCCCAGUUCGGAUUGGAGUCUGCAACUCGACUCCAUGAAGUUGGAUUCGCUAGUAACGGCGUAUCAGCUACGACGCCGUGAAUACGUUCCCGGGCCUUGUACACACCGCCCGUCACAUCAUGAAAGCCGUCUGCACCCGAAGUCGCUGACCCAACCUGCAAAGGAGGGAGGCGCCGAAGGUGUGGGUGGUGAUUGGGAUGAAGUCGGAACAAGGUA